CAGGUGCUGCAUGGCUGUCGUCAGCUCGUGUUGUGAAAUGUUGGGUUAAGUCCCGCAACGAGCGCAACCCUUAUCCUUUGUUGCCAGCGGUCCGGCCGGGAACUCAAAGGAGACUGCCAGUGAUAAACUGGAGGAAGGUGGGGAUGACGUCAAGUCAUCAUGGCCCUUACGACCAGGGCUACACACGUGCUACAAUGGCGCAUACAAAGAGAAGCGACCUCGCGAGAGCAAGCGGACCUCAUAAAGUGCGUCGUAGUCCGGACUGGAGUCUGCAACUCGACUCCAUGAAGUCGGAAUCGCUAGUAAUCGUGGAUCAGAAUGCCACGGUGAAUACGUUCCCGGGCCUUGUACACACCGCCCGUCACACCAUGGGAGUGGGUUGCAAAAGAAGUAGGUAGCUUAACCUUCGGGAGGGCGCUUACCACUUUGUGAUUCAUGACUGGGGUGAAGUCGUAACAAGGUAACCGUAGGGGAACCUGCGGUUGGAUCACCUCCUUA
rnacentral:rRNA from 1 species